GGAUUCGUCGCCUAGUCUGGCCUCAGGGCAUUUGUACUAUUGGUGACGGGUCCAUCCUCGGGGAGAACGUUUGUGUUGUUUACUCAAUGCCGACGGGACCCUCGUCAUUUACUGUGAGCAAAACAGAGUGUUCAAAGCAGGCUUACGCCGUUGAAUACAUUAGCAUGGAAUAAUAAGAUAGGACCUUGGUCUAUUUUGUUGGUUUGCGUCCAAGGUA
rnacentral:rRNA from 1 species